rnacentral:sRNA from 1 species
UGAGUUCUUUCUUAUCCUUCAAAUUGGCUUCCAAUGCAUCCACAACAUGAACUCCAUUGUGCAGCUUUGAAAUACGAAGUCUUCCUUGAAGAUGCUGCAACUCCCUUAAUUCUCCAAUGCUAGACCCGGUAGAUUUCCCCACAACGAAAUCAGUUAAUGUUCUCAAACAUUUUAGUCUUCCAAUUUCCACCGGCAUCCCUUCUAUCUUUGUUCCACUGACAUCGAGUUCAAUGAGAGCAUAACAAUCUGACAGCAGUAACGUCUGCAAAUUGUAGAGAGUGCAAACUGCACCAGGUAAGCUUACAAUUGCCGUCUCGGAGAGAUCCAGGUAGCGUAGGUGAAUGAGAUUGCCCACAGAAUCAGGUACUUCAGCAACAUUUAGAUAACGCGACAAUGAUAAAACCCGUAAACGUUUCAGGGAUGGCAACAAAUCAUGUAGAAAC